rnacentral:piRNA from 1 species
UGAGUGUGAAGUUCGGUGGUUACCCA